UACGUAGGGGGCAAGCGUUGUCCGGAUUUACUGGGCGUAAAGAGCGCGUAGGCGGACGUUUAAGUGAUGGCCUGAAGCCCCAGGCCCGUCAACCUGGGAGGGUGCACGCGAUACUGCUCGACUCGAAGGCGGGAGAGGGUAGUGGGAAUUCCCGGUGUAGUGGUGAAAUGCGUAGAUAUCGUGAGGAAUACCAGAGGCGAAGGCGGCUCCCUGGACAAUUGCUGACACUCAGGCACGAAAGCGUGGGGAAGCAAAAGGGAGUUGAAACCCUUGGAGAGUCCAGACCUAAGUCCUCAG
rnacentral:rRNA from 1 species